AGAACCUCCCCCGAUCCUGCGUGUCCCGUGCUCCUCUCCGAGACCCCGGUCGCCCCAGCGUCCGCAGCAGUCCUGGAAAAAUGUUUAUUUGUGUAGCAAAGCAGGGAGCGGGGCGGCGGGGCUACUUCUUCUUUUUCUUGGCCGCCUUGAGCUUCCCCUCGAUUAGCCGCUGCGCCUGCCUCUUGAUCUCGGCGCGCGAAGGGACGUAGCUGUGGUCCAUGUCGGGGAACUGGAAGGUGUCUGCGGGCGGAGGCGGCGGCUCGCACACGGGGCUAGCCCAGCUAGGCGCAGCCGCCCGACCCGCCUCUCGCCCCCGCCCUCCACCGACCCGGGCCAGGUGCCUUGCCCCAGGGACAGCCCCAGCGUGCCGGGAGGACUCAGCCCAGCCCAUUCGCAGCGGCUCACGCUGCCCUGCCUAGCCUUUCCCGCAGAACCCCCAGUGGAAGCUCCGGCCCAGGCCUUCACCGCGCUCCUCCCUGCUCCAGCCCUGGUGCCUCUCCUCCGGGCCCGUCUGGCAUGGCAUGCCUCCUCCUUUCGGAGAAAUUAACAAGGGCAAAGCCCCCUUCAGCCGUGCAGACACUCUGAACGGGAGCCUGUCAGCUUUGAGGGGACGUGGGCUGUGCAGGUUCCUCCCAGCCCGGGGCUACCUCCUCGGUCCUGGACACCAUCUGCACUCUGUCAGCCAGGUACGUGAGCUUCCCCUCGCAGUACGCCAGCUUGCUGUUCAAAUCGAGGGUGUUGGAGAGCACCACUUCUCUCUGUAGGCCGGGAGGAGGGUCUCAUCUCCCCUCUGGCCCUGCCCAGGGACCUGGUGUGUGGCAGCUCAGCCUCACUCCCGGUACCUGGGUCGCAGGCAAGUUAAUGCCCAUCAGCCGGACAUAGAGGUUGUCGAUGCCCAUCUGGAUGGUCAGCAGCAGCUCCUGGCCCUUGGUCAUGUUGCUGUGCGCCAGCUGGAGCCUCUCUUCUUCCUCUUUUAGCAUGUCUGUCAUUUUCUUCUCAACGGACUUGAAGCUGCAGAAGGCAAUAGGGACACAGCAGUGAGGGGCACAGGCCCGAGAGCCAUGGUGGGCCACCCAGGAGCCCAGUCCUGAGUUGGGUGCUGUGCCAGAAUCAGGGACUCAGAAGCUCAGGUGUGUGCAAGUGGAGUCCCCUGGCCCCUCUGUGGGACACACAGGCUUGUUGGCAGUGGGUAUACUCCCAGCUCCCAGCCUGGCUGCAGCCCGGGGCCUUUGUGAGACUGGGGUGGGUGGCCCGCAGCCCCGGAAGCCCGGGGCACCUGAUGGAGCUAGGCUUCUGGCGGAACUUGAGCACGGCCUCCUCCAGCUCCAGCUGCUUCACCAGGGCCUUCAGCUGCACCCGCCACUCCUCACAGUCCUCCAUCUGCAGCUCCAGGUUCUCCUCCGUGUUCCUCUGGGCCAGGAAGCGGCUAGUGAUGUCCUGGCCAGUCCGGGGGAGAGAGAAGCAGGUGUGGGCCAGGAUGGUGGGCAGAGGGGGCUUCACAGAACUGGUUUCUUCUGGGCCCCUCCUAGACGCUAGUGCACUUUCUCUGUGCUCAUUCACAAGUGUGAUCACAGCUCACUGCAGCCUCAACCUCCCAGACUCAAGCGAUCCUCCCACCUCAGCUUCCUGAGUAGCUGGGACCACAGGUGUGCACCACCACACUUAGCAGGGGUGAAGCGCUUUGUGGAUGUCAUUGCACACGACCCUAAUGGCAGGCAGAGAGGGUAGAUAACCCCAUGUAGAGAUAAGGAGAUCAUCACUGAAGGACGUUGUGUCACUUGAGUCACUUGUCUGACAGUGGACAAGCUUGUGUCAGGGCAGUGGUUAGGAGCUCAAGGCCUAAUAAUAAUAAACGCAGAUACACAGAUGGGAUUAAGAUAAAAGGAUUUGGGGCGGCCGAGGGAGUUGCCACUUUGUGUGUCCAUUUCAGAGUGCCUCAGACCCCAGCCCAGCUCAGCCACCCUCCUGCCAUGCUCCGGGAGUGCCAGGGAGCAUUACCCAGACGUGAGAGGCUCAGCCACCCUCCUGCCAUUCUCUGGGAGCGCCAGGGGCAUUACCCAGACGUGAGAGCACCGUACAGCACUCUUGACCUUCUCCACCACAGCAGUCACGCCCGACUGGUAUUCCAUUUCUGCUGUGGAGGUCUCUUUUCUCCUCACUGGCAGAGCAGAGGGGAGGGGCAGUCAGCAUGCAGGGAUGGCUCAGGGGCUCUGUGUAAGGCUGUCAGACACCUCUGUACCUGCCCAGCUGCUGGGGCGGCCACCCAAGACACAGGCAUCCUUCAGAGAUGCCUGCCCCCGCCCCAACCUGCUCCCUCCUCAGCCCAGCCCUGCAGGGACGCCCCAGGCAGCCCCAGAGCAGAGGUGGACCCGGAGUGAGUGGCGCAGCACUGUGAGCACUGUGGGCCCGGUGGUGCUUCUCAGAGGCAGCUUAGGGGUCAGGAUGCUCAUCCUCUGCAGAGUCACUGGGGACUGGGCCCUUGGUGCAGGGCCCUUGGGUGCUGGGGCCAGCAUCUCUGAGGCCACAUUUGGCUACAGGCUCUCAGCCUCUGGAGGGAGAGGCAGGGACCUGUCCUUCCCUUCACCCUGGCGACCACAUGUCACACCUGGCCUCAGGGUGACUUGAUCCGUUGGCCUGAAUCAGUGCCAGCCUCUCCUUGGGACCCUGGCUGGGGGCAGGUGGGGAGCUGAGCGCUUACAUUUCAGGGUCUCCGUGCUCAUCAGGUUCGAGGGGAAGUCCAAGUCCAUCUGGCCCUGAUGGGAGGUGGGGGCGGGGAAGGGAUGAGACAUCCUUGGCAGGGAGUGGGCCCUGAGUGGUGGCCCUGAGCCUGUGUCCACCCAGCUGUCAUGGGGAUGGGCAGCCAGCCAGGCCCUGGCCUGGGGCUUACCCGGCGGUACUUCUCGCUGGUCUCCUUCGUGUGGAUCUUGUCGAUCAGCUUCUUCUGCUGGUUGAGCCGGUUCUCCCUUGCCCGGCGCUCCUCGAUGAAGGACGCCUCCCUUUGCCUCAUGUUCCUCUGGGGACAUGCGGGUGGGCACAGGGUUGGGGAGCUGUCUCAACAAGGCCCCUAAUGGCAGUAAAGCCAGCGGGCGGUUGGCCAUGCUCACCUUACUAGACUUUGGAACUGCAUCCCCGGCCAAUGGCCACACCCUUUUCCUAAACCACUUGUGCCCGUGGCCCCUCAGCUCACGGCCCUCCUUGCCCAUGCCUCAGAGCAUGUGCCAGCCCAGACGCUCUGCUGCCCUCCAGCCGCUGGCCCCCAGCUGCCUCCUGGCCAGGUCCACCUAGAACUCACGGAAGUGCAUUCAGCCUGCCUGAAGACAGAUUCAUCCUCUUCCCCAAAACCUGGCCUCUUCCAGCGUGCCCUUGGGCAGCUAAAACCGUCAUCUGCUAACCCCUGCUCACGCACCCCAGACACUGCUCUCACCCUCGCCACUCUCGUUGCCAGCGCUUAGUGGGGUUGCCUCUUGAGGAGUUCUCAGCUCCGUUGCUCCUGGCCACCCCUUCUCCACCCCGGGUAUACCCAGGUGAUCAGCGCUUCUGCCCUGGCACCUUCCAGUCCCUGCAGCCUGAGUACACCCUUUCUGAAGCACAGACCUGGUCACAUCUUUCCUCCACCUCCUCCCAGGGCUCCAGGUCAGUCCUUGGGCCCCCAGCCCAGCCGCCUCCGUGGACUCCUGGGGCCUGUGCCUCUGCAGCCUCCACUGCCCUGGCCACACGCUGCUCCAUGUAUCACACCCCUCCCAGCCCAGGGCCUUUUCCCAAGUUGUACCUCCUCCUCCCUAGCCCUGGCCACACCUGACCUUUGCGGGUUCAAUCCCUCAGCCCAGCUCAAGCACUGUCUUCCUGGAAAGCCAUCUGCCACCCCACCUGUCUCUGCUGAGCUGGCUCAGGGGCUGUGUGGCAUUUCUUCAUGGACUACUGGAUGAGUGCCACCCACUUCAGGAGGACAGGGUCUGCCUGUCCCGGUCCCUGCUGUAUCCCCAGAGCCUUGCAGGGACCUUGGCACAGACUGGGUGAAUAGGUGACCCCCGCCCUGGCCCGGCCAGUUCUCUCCCUCUCCUCUACUUCAUGGCUCCUGUGCUGGAUGGGACCUGCUCUGUCCAGUGGGUGAGCAGAGCAGGCUGGCCGGGCUGGCCACUGGAUCCUUCUGGGGAUUGUAGGCAGUGUGGGCAUGGGGGUCUCCUGAGAGACCCUGGCCAGAAGACACAAGAGAGCCCGCCCUGGGGGGCCCCAGCCCUGGGCCCUGAGCUCACCUUGACCCCAUCCGAAGAUCCAAGAGGGCUGGCCCUGGGGGGCCCCCAGCCCUGGGCCCUGAGCUCACCUUGACCCCAUCCGAAGAUCCAAGAGGGCUGGCCCUGGGGGGCCCCAGCCCUGGGCCCUGAGCUCACCUUGACCCCAUCCGAAGAUCCAAGAGGGCUGGCCCUGGGGGGCCCCCGGCCCUGGGCCCUGAGCUCACCUUGACCCCAUCCGAAGAUCCAAGAGGGCUGGCCCUGGGGGGCCCCCAGCCCUGGGCCCUGAGCUCACCUUGACCCCAUCCGAAGAUCCAAGAGGGCUGGCCCUGGGGGGCCCCCGGCCCUGGGCCCUGAGCUCACCUUGACCCCAUCCGAAGAUCCAAGAGGGCUGGCCCUGGGGGGCCCCCAGCCCUGGGCCCUGAGCUCACCUUGACCCCAUCCGAAGAUCCAAGAGGGCUGGCCCUGGGGGGCCCCCAGCCCUGGGCCCUGAGCUCACCUUGACCUCAUCCGUGAUCAUCAUGGCAUCUUGGGACAUGAUCUUCAUAUCCGACAGCUCUGAGCAGUAGUUGACCACGAGGUUCUGCAGCUUGUCCAGCUCAAUGGGGUAUCCUGCCAGCACCUGUGUUGAAUGGGGUUCUCUUGUGGCCCCUACAGAGUGGGCUGCAGUUGCCCCGAGCUUUUAUCCCCCGACUAAGAGCCCUGAGAACAGUGAUAGGUUCUCCUCUGUGGCCCCAGCCACCUCCCCCACUCCCCGCUGGGCACAACGGUGAUGAAAGGUGUUUCACAGGGAGUGGACAGUGCUGGCCUGGUGGACUCUUUCACCACCUAGGGUCCAACAACCCAGAGAGACUGAGAGAGUUUGUGAUGAAAUGCUCUGCAGAAAAGGCUGACUGAAACCCGGGGAGGUUUGGGGACAGUUCUGCUUUGAAGUGAAACAGAGGGGCUCAAGACAUGGGCUUGGGGUCAGAGAGUCAGGAUUCAAGGCCAAGGCAGCUUCUGACCAGCUAGUUUAGCUGUGUGACAUUGGGAAAGUUACUUAAUCUCUCUGUGUCCCCAUUUGUAAGAUGAUGGCUCGUUCAGAAGGUUGCCAUCAGGAUGAAUUGAGUGUAAAAGGAAUUAUUUAGCCCAGAACCAGGUACAUACGUGCUCAGGAUAGCUUUGCUAUAGUGGUUUGUUUUUUGUAACUACAAGUAUAGGCCAGGUGCGGUGGCUCACGCCUGUAAUCCCAACACUGGGAGGCCGGAGGCAGGCAGAUCAUGAGGUCAGGAGUUAGAGACCAGCCUGGCCAACAUAGUGAAACCCUGUCUCUACUAAAAAUACAAAAAAAAUCAGCCGGGCGUGGUAGUGGGCGCCUGUAAUUCUAGCUAUUCGGGAGGCUGAGGCAGGAGAAUCGCUUGAACCCGGGAGGCGGAGGUUGCAGUGAGCCGAGAUCUCACCACUGCACACCAGCUGGGGCAACAGUGUGAAACUCCAUCUCAAAAAACAAAACAAACAAAAACAAAACUAGAAGUGUAGAAUCUUCAUUUUUAAAAAUAUGGAUGACUAUGGGAAUUAUUGCUUGUUUUUUCCUUUGUUCUGAGACUGAAUCUCACUCUAUCACCCAGGCUGGAGUGCGAUGGUACGAUCUCGGCUUGCAGCAACCUCUGCCUUCUGGGUUCAGGUGAUUCUCGUGCCUCAGCCUCCCGAGUAGCUGGGAUUACAGGCAUGCACCACCAUGCCAGGCUACUUUUUGUAUUUUUAGUAGAGAUGAAGUUUCACCAUGUUGGCCAGGCUGGUCUAGAACUCCUGACCUCAAGUGAUCCGCCUGCCUUGGCCUCCCAAAGUGCUGGGAUUACAGGCAUGAGCCACCAUGCCCAGGCCGGGAAUAAUUGUUUUUUAAGUGUGUAUGUUCUAAACAGAAGAAGGCGCUACCAGAGGAACAGAAAGCACCCAGGCGAAGGAGGGGCAUGGACAGGGGUGGGGAGAGGGGUGGGCCCAGGAAGCAUAGAGGGGCAGGGCUUCCAGGUGAGCCAAUAGGACCAGGGGCCAAGGCAAGAGGGACAAGCAGAGGACGGUGCUGAGAGCCACCUGGGCUGGGACCACAGCAGGAAAAGAGCUGCGAUGCAGCCUCCGUCCACCACUCCUCCUAAACUGCACUUCCAUGCUGUCACCUUCCCGAAGCAUGGCUCUCCAGAGCUCCCCUUUGCCCAGUCUUAGGGUGAGGGUGUUUCCAGCUGGCUCCCCGCCCCAUCCACAGGUUGCUCCUCUUAGCACCUCCUGUGCUCUCCCUAUCUACAGCCCAUCUGGAGUAGGUUCUGCUUUGUGGCAGCCCGAGGGGCGGUGCUCAGCCUCCCAUGAAGGGGGUCUUCCCUCACAAUCGGACUGCUGGCUGCCUUUGGCCUCGUCUGCAGGGAGCAGGGCGGGUGGGCUGGCUGGGACGGCAGCAAGCCCUGCUUACAGGCCCAGCGGACCCUCAAAGGUGCAAGGACUUUCUGAGGGUGCAGGACCUGUCUGACUCUCAGAGGCCCAGGCAAUGAGAAAAUGACAGGCAAGAUACAAACAAUACCAAAUCAUUUAAUACGUGCAAGAAAGUCCGAAGAAUUCUGAUAUACCCCACGAUAUGCUUUUUUGGAAUAGCCAAAAAUGAAGUUUAAAAAAACGUUUUCCACAUGCCUCGGCGUCCUGCGUAGCCGGUGGUCAGGCAGAGCUCCCUCUCCCUGGCGGGUGCGGGGCGGCUCCGCCCCAGGACGCUCCCGCCCCUCCCAGAUCCCAGCCCCUGACCCCCGCCCUUCCCGGGCCGCUGGGCUCACUGUCUUCAGAUAAUCCAGCAGGUCCAAAUACAGCAGGUGGAUGUUCUGGCUGGUGAUGAUCUUGAUCAUUGUCUUCUCGAUGUUGUUCUCCAGCUGGCGGAUGAUCUGGGGCGGACCGAGGGCGCAGUGAGAGGGCGUGGGGACCGGCCGCCCGGAGGGUGUCGGGGCUGGGUUUUCUCCGGAGAGGGUCGUGCUCUCUUAGCCCCGCCCCUCCCGUGAGCCCUCCCCAGGGGACCCGCAAGUCCCGCCCCCCGGUGGCCCCGCCCCUCCCGUGAGUCUUGCCCCAGUGGACUCCGCCCCGCCCUCCCAGCCCCGCCUCUCCACCUGCAGCAGCCGCAGCUCCUCCUUGCUGGCGUCGGGCUGGCUCCGCAGGCUGUCCAGCUCCAGCUGCAUGCUCUCCAGCUUCUGCCCGCGCCGCCGCACCAGGUGGAUCAGUAGGUUGUGCAUGUUCACGCGGUCGAAGACGUACUUGCGCAGCUUCUCCCGCACCACCUGGGUCGGGAAGGGCACCGCCCACUCGUGGUUGCGUAGGGGGCCGCCAUGGAGCCCGCCAGCAGGCGGGCGGGUGGAGGCUCGUGGCAACCCCACAGGGAACCUGGGGCUGGGCACCUGCUCCGUCCCUCGUCGGCUCCGCAACAUCUAGUGGGGGGGUGCUGGCAGGGGUGGGGAGGGUUGGGUCUCGAGGCCCCUCCUGCCUGGUUACCUCCAUGGUGCUGCGGCAGUGCGCCAGUCGCAAAGGCAAGUUUUUCCCGCAGGCCUUGGAGAUGGUCCACUGGUCAUACUGCGGAGCGGCGGCGGCUGAGCUAGAGCGGGCCCUUUGCGCACCCGCAGCCGCUGGCUCCUCCAGGCAUUCUCCCCAGGGCCUCUUGUAUCCCACGCUAGCCCAGUAGCGAGAUCCCUGCUUCCACGAGGAGCAGAGAGCCGCGGGACCCCAUCCUGGCCAUCCAAGUUCGGAGGCGACGUGGUAGGGGGGUAUGCAGAGGAGGGCCUGGGUGUCCCCUAGCUGGCCGGAGAGCCAGAGGGGGCCCCUGCUGCAGGAUGUGGGCUCACAGAUGCCAAGCCCUCGGGUUGGGUGGUGGGAAACCUGCCCACCGGAUGCUGGGGUGACUGGAGCCCAGGGCACAGGUCCUAGCAGAGCCCCUCCUCACAUGCCCCCUGGAUCCAGAAAGAUUGGGGUGGGGGUGGAGAGGAGGUGCCCGCCCUCCGAGUGUGUGUGUACUCAGCUCCUGCCCUGCUCGCCAGGCAGAGGGGAGGGGCGGCGUUUGUGUACCUUCUUGGCCAAAGCCCAGUCCUGGGCCCCGCGGCGGAUGUUGCUGCGCAGGAGGGCCAGCGUGGCCUUGUUCUGGUCCAUAUUCUCUUUCACCCCUUGGAUCUGGAGUGCCCGACACUGCUCUGUGGGCAGGUGGAGGGGACACAGUGGCUAGGAUUGGGCCAAGGGCCUGGCCUGGAAUCCCCUGGGGGAGGCUUGCAUCAGGGAGGCCCCAGGCCCCAGGGUCCAGGGGGAUGCCCCCUCCAUGGCCAAGAUCCCUCCUCCCGCCCUGUCCUGGGGGACACCGCUCCACUGCCCAGCAGCA
rnacentral:lncRNA from 1 species